GUGCGACGCCCCCACGCGCAGACGCGCAGUUGCAACCGACGAUCCAUCCAUGCACCGCCGUUGCAAUUUGCGUUUCACCCUCCUCACCAAAAUCGAUUUGCUCCCCCCCUCCCCCUCAGAUCCCAAAUCACUAGUACUACUACCUCACUACCACCACUCCGGCGACUCCGCCGCCGCCAUGCACCCCUCCUCCUCCUCCUCCCACCCGCCCGAUCACCCCAACCCCAAGUCCCCGCCACCACCCGCGCCCGCCAUGGGCUACCCAGCCAACCACCCACCCCCACCCCCCUCCUCCAACGCCGCCUACUUCGCCUCCGCCGCCCCACCCCCCGCCGCCACCAACGGCACCGCCGCCUUCGCCGUCGCCUACCCUUACCCUGCGCCGCCGCCCCACUCCCACUCCCACCCGCCCCCUCCUCCUCCGCACGCCUACCACCACCACCACUACCCACCACCUCCUCCUCCUCACCACCACCCCUACCCGCCUCACCCGCCUCCGCCCACCUGCCUCCGCCGCCUCCUCGGCCUCGUCGUCGCCGCCUUCCUCCUCCUCGGCGCCGCCACCUUCAUCGUCUGGCUCCUCCUCCGCCCCCGCGUCCCGGCCUUCUCCCUCGCCUCCCUCACCCUCUCCCGCGUCGCCUACUCCGCCGCCAACUCCUCCCUCUCCGCCUCCUUCGACGCCUCCCUCCUCGCCGACAACCCAAACUCCAAGCUCACCGUCACCUACUUCUCCCCGCUCGCCUCCGUCUCCCUCGCCCCGUCCUCCCCCAUCGCCGUCGCCACGCUCCCGCCCUUCGCGCAGCCGCCGCGGAACACCACCACGCUCGCCUUCCGCCUCGAGGUGGAUGGCGCAUACGUGGGUCCCGACGACGCCGCGCCGCUCAAGGGCGGGGGUGUUGGUACCAUGGAGGUCCAGGUCAGGCUCGCCGCCGUCGCCGUCUUCGAUCGCGGUGGCUGGCGCACGCGCCGGAGGGUCAUGAGGGUCAUGUGCGACGGCGUGCCCGUCGCCUUCCGCGGGAAGAACGGGAUGGAGGCGGCGUUCACUGGCCCCGCUCGCCGGUGCGAUGUAGUGUUGUGAAGGAUCACUGCAUUGUGGUCAUUGACUACCUCAGAUGCUGAUCUAUGGGAGCAUCUUCCGAAGGUUCAUCAUUGCAGCUGCAGACAUUGAGGCAACUGCUUUGCUAGUGACCUGACCAUUGGUGUGGAUGGCCAUGGCUGCAAGUGCAAAGGAUAUGGCAAAUACGGCCAGAGGUGAGUUAACCAAACACCAAUUGGAUAACCACAGAUAAGUUGUAGUUGUAGUUGUAGUUGUUUGCCGCAGGCAGCACUCAAUCUUUGAUGGUAGGUAGGAGGUCUAUUGUGGAAGAAGACUGAAGAUGAUAUGUGUGAGAGUGGCCUUGAUGGAGGAAAAAUCCUGUUAGAAUCUGCCUACCCCUAUAUAUUUUCUAGCCUCCUCUUCUGUGAAGAUUUGGGCAUGUUGGAUUGUUAUGCCCGUAUAUUUUUUGUGUGUGUGAUGGAAUGAUCGGUUUUGGGCGUUGAAA